rnacentral:rRNA from 1 species
GGUAUUCUGGAUUUAUUCAGGAGAGAGCGGCGUACGGGUGCGUAACACGUGUGCAACCUACCUUUAUCAGGGGAAUAGCCUUUCGAAAGGGAGAUUAAUACUCCAUAAUAUAUUAAAUGGCAUCAUUUGAUAUUGAAAACUCCGGUGGAUAGAGAUGGGCACGCGCAAGAUUAGAUAGUUGGUGAGGUAACGGCUCACCAAGUCAAUGAUCUUUAGGGGUCCUGAGAGGGAGAUCCCCCACACUGGUACUGAGACACGGACCAGACUCCUACGGGAGGCAGCAGUGAGGAAUAUUGGACAAUGGGUGAGAGCCUGAUCCAGCCAUCCCGCGUGAAGGAUGACGGUCCUAUGGAUUGUAAACUUCUUUUGUACAGGGAUAAACCCAGAUACGUGUAUCUGGCUGAAGGUACUGUACGAAUAAGCACCGGCUAACUCCGUGCCAGCAGCCGCGGUAAUACGGAGGGUGCAAGCGUUAUCCGGAUUUAUUGGGUUUAAAGGGUCCGUAGGCGGACCGAUAAGUCAGUGGUGAAAUCUCAUAGCUUAACUAUGAAACUGCCAUUGAUACUGUCGGUCUUGAGUAAAUUUGAAGUGGCUGGAAUAAGUAGUGUAGCGGUGAAAUGCAUAGAUAUUACUUAGAACACCAAUUGCGAAGGCAGGUCACUAAGAUUUAACUGACGCUGAGGGACGAAAGCGUGGGUAGCGAACAGGAUUAGAUACCCUGGUAGUCCACGCCGUAAACGAUGCUAACUCGUUUUUGGGGCGCAAGCUUCAGAGACCAAGCGAAAGUGAUAAGUUAGCCACCUGGGGAGUACGUUCGCAAGAAUGAAACUCAAGGGAAUUGACGGGGGCCCGCACAAGCGGUGGAUUAUGUGGUUUAAUUCAAUGAUACGCGAGGAACCUUACCAAGACUUAAAUGG